UACGGGGGGGGCAAGCGUUGUUCGGAAUUACUGGGCGUAAAGGGCUCGUAGGCGGCCAACUAAGUCAUACGUGAAAUCCCUCGGCUUAACCGAGGAACUGCCCUCCAAACUGCUUGGCUUGAGUCCGGGAGAGGUGAGUGGAAUUCCCAGUGUAGCGGUGAAAUGCGUAGAUAUUGGGAGGAACACCAGUGGCGAAGGCGGCUCACUGGACCGGAACUGACGCUGAGGCGCGAAAGCGUGGGGAGCAAACGGG
rnacentral:rRNA from 1 species